GUCAGACAACCGGCAACUAGAAGACAACUGGAAAAGACGGACACAUCCUGAUGUGGGAACUCCUUCUAACUGCACUGUUGAACUGCUCCUGUAGUCUUGUUAUUUAAAGACAGAUAACUGAUUGAGAGAUAAAUGACAAAGAAAAAUGGAUGGCCAGUUUCACUGAGAAUAAGGAAGAGAAAAAGAUAGAAAGCAAAAUGAGAAAAAAGAAUCCAUAUUAAUUGUACAUAGGAAUUCAAGAAAUUACAAGAAAUAAGCUAGGGGAGGAAGAGAAUUGUUUGAAGGCAAAACCUCAGAGAAAAUAGCUAAAUAAUUAUGGUUUAAACAUGGCCUGAAGUGAAAGGGAGCCCUGAGGCUGGAGAUAAUUUUCCAGGAAUCAUAAAGGCAUCUAAUGAAGCUUUUGAAAUCAAGUUACAAAGAGCUGGAAACUUCUGAGAGGCACAAUAUGUAUGGCAGCUCACAAUCUUUCAGAUCAGAAGGACCCGUUCUCCUGUUCUAUGUCGAGCAUGGAAAAGAACACUUCGUGAUCCAUCUACAAUCGAAGAAAAUUCUUUCAGGCAGUGUGCUUUUUGUAAUGAAGGAUUAACACGAAUUAACAAUAAAUUUUUUAAGUUUGAAAAUGUCACAGAAAUAUUUAGGGAACACACACAUACAGGUAGAACCAGUAUCUUGUUUAUUUACCCUGACAAUUCACUAUCUUUGUGUGGUUUUAUACAGGUGUUGACUUUCAAAGCUAAAAAAAAAAAAAAAAAAAAGGAUGUAAUCCCAGCUACUCGGGAGGCUGAGGCUGAGGCUGAGGCAGGAGAAUUGCCUGAACCCAGGAGGCGGAGGUUGCAGUGAGCCAAGAUCGCACCAUUGCACUCCAGCCUGGGUAACAAGAGUGAAAUUCCGUCUCAAAAAAAAGGAAAUAUUCAAUAUUCUCUGUCUUCCCUUAAAAAAAUCCCACUGGAAUUGAACAUAGCUAUAACUUGGGUUAUACAUAUUUUAGGAUCACCUAAAAUAACCUACUAUCAAUUUAAUAUAGCAGAAGACAGUCUAGCUACAUACUUAAAACUAAUACAGAUGAAAAUCAUGAGUUUUUUUUAUGUUUAUCCAAAUAUUAUCCUGAUAUCUAUGGAGCCCCAUAUUAUUUGAAGCUAAGGUACUCCUCAUUAUAUUAUAUAUAACCCAGCAUGACAUUUUGGUGAACAUAAGAGUAACUAGCACUUCAAAGUUUUAUGUUGCCAUUCUUUUAUUUUUAACUGGAACCUGCACCUUAGAAAUGAG
rnacentral:lncRNA from 1 species